CCCUGCUCUCAGGUUUCUCUCUGGGAGGAAAGAUGACGCCGAGUAAAGGGGAACACGAGCGGAGGCUUUUCUCACGUUACUAUGCAUAGCCCCCCCGCCCCCCAUUCUCCAGGGCGUGGAGACACCGGCAGACCCCUCUUUGUGCUCUGAACACAACCCACGGGGUGCUCAGGGCCCUGACCCUGGAGCAGAGACACUUCUCCCUAGGGUGCCUGCUCUGACGCCGGAAGUCUGCGUGCUGGACAGCGCCGCCGCCUGGGCAAGGGCUGGACCAGGCGGGACCCUCCCUGCAGUCAGGAGCCCUGUGAAAGAAAGAAGUUCCAAGGAGCCAAGCCUGGAUGGGGCGAGGUGAGCGGAGGAUGGCAGGUGACUCGAGGGGCUGCCUGUGAGCACGUGUCCAUAGUGUGCGCACGUGCACGAGUGCAUGCGUGAGUGCAAGUUACAGAGACACCUCACAUAACCGGCUUCGGCACGCGGAAGUUUAUUUCCCUCCCAGGGCUCCUUGCUGUGAAUGCAGCCGCAGCAGCUUUCCCGCUGGCGUUGAGUGUCUUCAUGUCCUCUCUCUGUACUGAAGCUGCACAUGUGUCUCUCGUCACCGGCAUAAACUCGUCUUUCCUUGUCUUUCCAGCGGAGCUUGUCACCCUUUUACAUGUAACACAAUUGCUGAUGAAGUUGAUUAAAAUCUUUAAGUUAUGUGUUUUCUGCCUGUAAGUGCCUGUCCUUGCUCUGAGAUGCCAUCUUCUAGAUAAUUCCUACCCACCCCCCAAAAAACCCCAAACGCCCAUGUCUCUGAUGCUCAUCCAUCUGCCUCUGCCACCGUCUCUGCUCCUGGUCACCAUUUCCCCUGCCAUCCUGGUCAUUCCCCUCAGCUAAGGACGUGGGUCCAGCGGGUUCAAGGUCUUCUCCACCCUGCUCCCCUGCCAGUGUGGGCUCUCGGGUCCUUGACCCCCUCACCUCCAAUGUCCUUUUCUUCUGCUUCGCCUCCCCAGCCCCUCCCGUGGUCAUGAGAACAUGGCCUUUCUUGGCCACCCGCAUCUCUGCCUCCAAACUUCCACUCUCGGGGUGAGACCGGGAGGUGGGACCAGGGGAGCCCCGUGAGGUAGGAGGUGGCGACAUAGCCCCAGAGGAGACAGGGAGCGGAGGUCCCUGCCGUCCACCUCCACCUGCCGUCUCGGACCCCAUGGGACGCCCGCCUCGCGACC